CCGAAUUCAUCACUCUGAAAUUGCAUGAACAAAUGAGCAUACACUUAGUUCCGUUUUGUUCUUGGUCAAAUCAACACGCAAACAAAAUGGAUCGAUAUUGUUCGUAUUAUCGAUGCCCGAAUUGCCUCCGCACUUUUUCAACCGUAUCAAUGGAGCCAAUCGGAAUGGAUAAUUGCAAAAGUUGCCAUAUGUGCGUGCAUCCCUUUGAAGUUCAAAAGAACUAUGCAGCGGUCGCAAAGUAUCGUGCAAAAUAUAACUGCUCGUGCUGUAAGCUUGAAUGGAGCGCCGUGAACGUACAUUUGAACAGCCCUCAAAAUUGCUCGAGAUGCAACGCUUCCAUCGUUCCUCAUCUUCAUGAAAUGAUCUAUCGCUAAAAUCAUACUGAACCGCUGGGUAAGCUUGCUUCAUGA